rnacentral:lncRNA from 1 species
AGUUCUGUAAACAAAUUCUCAACUGCACCAGAAGGCCUGACAGUUAAGAGAACCCAGUGAAGAAACCUUUUGCAGAGAGAGAAAAGAACCCUUUUGAAUGUGAUCAAUCACGCUGAUUUAUUUGGAUGAUUUCUCUUCUGGAUUUCCUUAAACCAGGGAAAACCCAGAGACAGAGGUCUUGCUAUGUUGCCCAGGCUGGUCUCAAGCUCCUGGCCUCAAGCGAUUCUCCUUCCUCAGCCUCCAAAAGUGCUGGGAUUACAGGUGCAACAGUGACCCGUGACGCAGUAGGGAGGGCUGUUUUCCAUGCCCAGUGAGGCCUGCUCAGCUCCCAUUAGGCCUUUAUGGAUGGCCUGCCUCCCAGCUGGUACCUGGUCCCGUCACAGUCCCAGGACUCUAGACCUCGAGGCAGCCAGGCCACAAAAUGCAUGGCACAGGGAAGGGUUUGACAACUUUUUGAUGGAUGAACAAAGAAGAUUCAAGCCACUUGUCAACAAGCUCAAAGUGAUUGAAAGUGGAAGCAUUUACCCACACGCUCAUGCAGAAAAUGACAGGAAAUCAUCCAGAGACACUUGUGACAGAGAUGAGAACUGUCACUGUUGAGAGGUGCUGCGGAGAUGGGUGUCCACGGAUGACCGUUCGGAGGCCGACUUCGGGGAUGUGGCCCCAUUAGCUCAAGAGUGGGUGACUCCCUACCACACUGAUGGCGUUGGCCAGGACAGGACAAGCCUACUGCAGUGACACAGUGUCACUGAUCCCUGAUGCCCACGUGGGUGUUUUACUUUAGCUAAUGCUGCAGAGAUAAUGCAGACAGAGAAAUGAGGCCCCAGCGCUGAGCAGCCCAAUCACCUGGUUGUAAGCAGCGAGUGUUUCUGGCUCUGCUCCUGGGCCCCAAACCACUGUGGGCUCACGAAGAAUCUUUCAGAGUUGGAGUCAGAAUGUCAGGGUUUGAGUGUAGUCUCCACCCCUUAAUGACCUUGCAUUGAUAAUUCUAUUCCCCGAGCCUCAUUUUACCCAUCUAUAAAAUGAGGACAAAUAGUUUAUUUCCUGGUUACUUCACUAAGAUGUUGUAUCAAAAAAGAAUAUAUGCAAUAAAAUGCUUUCCUAAGUAAAAAAA